rnacentral:rRNA from 1 species
UCCCAGACUCCUACGGGAGGCAGCAGUGGGGAAUAUUGCACAAUGGGGGGAACCCUGAUGCAGCGACGCCGCGUGGGUGAAGAAGUCAUUCGUGACGUAAAGCCCUAUCGGCAGGGAAGAAGCAAGACGGUACCUGACUAAGAAGCCCCGGCUAACUACGUGCCAGCAGCCGCGGUAAUACGUAGGGGGCGAGCGUUAUCCGGAUUCACUGGGUGUAAAGGGAGCGUAGACGGCCAUGCAAGCCAGGGGUGAAAGCCCGGGGCCCAACCCCGGGACUGCUCUGGAAACUGCGGCGCUGGAGUACGGGAGGGGCAGGCGGAAUUCCUGGUGUAGCGGUGAAAUGCGUAGAUAUCAGGAGGAACACCGGCGGCGAAGGCGGCCUGCUGGACCGUGACUGACGUUGAGGCUCGAGAGCGUGGGGAGCAAACAGGAUUAGAUACCCUAGUAC